GGGGUCACCACAACAUGAGGAACUGUAUUAAAGGGUCGCGGCAUUAGGAAGGUUGAGAACCACUGCUUUAGAUGAAGAGCUGUGGGAUAAAAUUUGCUCACUCCGUUGUAUAAAGCACAACCAGAACUUGUGAGUGGCUUACUUGAAGUGACUUCAUACAUCUUGAAUACUUUUAAUGUUGAUGUGUUGACUUUUUUAAGUUGACUGCACAGUCACUGUAUGUACUAGGAACUGGUUUCCUUGACUUUCUAGAAUCAUUGGCUAAGAGAGGCACUAAUCCCUGCGGGGUUGAACAUAUCCUGAAGCUGAGUCAGUAUGGAAGAAUUUAAAAUAAAUCAAACAGGGUGCUGCAGUUCCAUCUGUCUCAGGCUCACGCACAAGAUUUCUUUGUUCAGUAAGAUUGAACAGUGCCUAUUUGAAGAUUCGGAAAUGUUACUGCUCUAUUGAGACAACCAAUGGGAGACGUGUGACCAGCUAUCUCUGAUGUCAUAAAACGCAUGUUUGCAUUGGAAGAACAGUAAUUGCUAACUUCUCAGGUCCCCUUAUAAUUCUGAAGUUCUGUGAUCAUAUGAAAGGAGGGAAUGUGUUUAAUCUGCUCCUUGCUUAAAGCAUAUGAAUAAAAGACUCAUACUAUUUAUUGA